rnacentral:lncRNA from 10 species
CGGGUUUCUCCCUGCGGCUCCUGGGUUGUUGAGACUCUUGUGAAGAUGGCUUGCGCUGCCGCGCGGUCCCCGGCCGACCAGGACAGGGUUUAUUUGUAUCUAUCCUGCUUAUUUAAAUAAUAAGAAGACCAUCGCAGAGGGAAGGCGAAUCCCCAUAAGUAAGGCUGUUGAAAAUCCUACAGCUACAGAGAUUCAAGAUGUAUGUUCAGCAGUUGGACUUAACGUAUUUCUUGAGAAAAAUAAAAUGUACUCUAGAGAAUGGAAUCGUGAUGUCCAAUACAGAGGCAGAGUCCGGGUCCAGCUCAAACAGGAAGAUGGGAGCCUCUGCCUUGUACAGUUCCCAUCACAUUAUACACUAAGCCUAACUUCUGGUUCCUAGGUAAGUCAGUAAUGUUGUAUGCAGCAGAAAUGAUACCUAAACUAAAAACAAGGACACAAAAAACAGGAGGUGCUGACCAAAGUCUUCAACAAGGAGAGGGAAGUAAAAAAGGGAAAGGAAAGAAAAAGAAGUAACCUAGUAUCAGCAUCAAGUAUGUGGUACUACUGUAAGAGACAUGAAUGGAGACUUCUAAUUUGUAUCGGAGGGAAACAGAAGCUUUUUGUUUGCAUCAUUUAACUGAACUGUGAACCCUUGUGCCUCUCAUCUUUAUCAUCGGAGUUGACAGUGAAACAAAUUUACAUCAGAAGUUUGCAUCUCGCG